UCUAGGGCAGAAUCUGUCCACCGUCCAGCUUCUGGUGGCCCCUGGCGUCCCCUGGCUCGUGGGCACAUCCUCCCCCCUCUUGCCGUCUUCUCCUGUGUGUCUGUCCCUGCAGCCCUCUGGCUGUCUCACGAGGCAGGGCACUGCAUAAGGAUCCUUGGGAUUAUCUUCCGGACCCCCCCCCCCCCAGAUAAUCCAGGAUAAACACUGCUCUGAACAUCUUUCAUUUAAUCCCACCUUUGGCCAUGUGAGUUGAUAUUCGUCAGUUCCAGGGGUUGGGAUGGAACAUAUCCCCCAGCACUAGGCAGGUCCCCCAGAUCUAGACCAGGGCAGACCUCAGUAGACCCUCAGGUGAACAUGACCCCAAGGGGCCUGGUUCUGAGAGUUCCUUCAAAGGCGGCCCUGGCUUUUCAGGAAUCCACCGGGGACCCCCUCACUGCUCCUCUGGCCCACGCCCUGUGGAGAAGAGUGGCAAGGUGUCCGACAGAAAAAAUGGGAUUUUAGGAGAGAGAGAGAGCAGGGCCCGGCUAUCCCGGGCCAGUCUGCAGCCUCAGGCUACGCCUCCUGCUGAAAUUCUGAGAAAUCCCCCGAAUUCAUAUUCCAGGCUUGUCGGGAAUCAUUCAAAAAGUUGGAAGGCUGAGCAGUUGACGACAGACCCGGAGAAACUGGAUGGAGAGUCUCCUGCCGAUGAACCCAAAAAACCAGUAAGCGUGAUGUGAAAAACUAUUCACCUGAGCUCACUCGGUGCAAUGGGAUUUGGUCUGCACUCGCCGACGUCUGAGCAGGCUAGCUGGGCAAGGCUGGUCACAGACGACAGGUGCUCUCGCUGACCGAGGGGGGUUCCGCUUGCGGGCAGUCUGGUGGCCUGAGGGGAGGCGCCCCGUUUGGCGAGUCACCGUCUGGCAGGCAGAAGCCUCAGACUGAUGACAGUGGAGGGUUGCUACGGAGAAGUUAUUGUGAGAAAUGGGAAUUUGGAUGUAACAGAAAGGAUUUGAGAGACGAGGAGGGAUUUUGGUACAAGAAUGCCCCCUAGGUCCACCUUGGAAACUGAGGCAGUGUAAAGGUCGGAAGAAAUCCAUGAAGUGUGCAGGCUGCAGAGCCACGGCUUGGGUCCAGAGAGGCCACCUAACCAGCCACCGGGACUCCCUCCACACCCACGACAGGCUCAGCUCCCUUGCAAAGAACCAAGGCUUUUUGCUCAUGGGUGGAGGAAUAUUCUGGUUGUGUCCAACACUCAGAAACUGCGUGUGACUCUAAGAUAAACGGUUAAUUACCCCGAAGCAAGCAGCCUCGACCCCCAACGCCAACA